AAUUGCAAAACGGAUUGAAGCUCCACGUGGACGUGCAGCCUCAAGCACAAGCAAAUCAGGAUCCACACCAUACAGUUCUUGUUACAUCAGAAACAGAAAGCAGCAGUGCACUGGCCGUGGCAGAUGGGCCUACAAGCCCUGCCUCGGCCCACGUCCAUGGGCUUUCUCAUGCACUUUUUCUUGGGCUGUUGGUUUGCUAUUUGGGCCUCUAGGGGCAACUUGUGCCAGGCUUAGUCUUGAGAUUGUUACUGAUGGCAUGUUUGUAAUUUUCUAGGGUAAGGACCUGUUUGACAUGCUUGUUGUGUCCUUAAGCAUUUCAGAAUUGCUACAGUACCAAAAUUUGAAUCAAAAAAGAUUUACAAAAUUUAAAAUGAAUAGUUCAGAUUUACUUUAUUUUAUGAAAUUCACACGUGAAUCUGACUUAUUCAUUUUAAAUUUUGAUACAAAUUCCAGAACUAUAGGAUUUCUCUAAGCGUUUUUAAUAUUUUAGCGGUAUCUCUUGCUUAAAAUUAAAAUACGUUUGAUCUAAUUAAUUAUACAUGAUUAUUUUCUUUUAAAAAAUCAUAGAUGAUUAUAGCAAAAUUGCACAAUAUACUCCUACUUAAUUGCAAAAUUGUUAUAAGCACUUAAUUAUGGCAUUUAUCAAACUAGGCCAUGCUGAUUAUACGUUCAAUUCCAAAUGCAGGUAAUGACGGUGUGACCAUAUUUAGCGACAGCAUUUGGUUAUAAUCUACAAUUAAUAACAAUGCAGU
rnacentral:lncRNA from 1 species